UUAAAUAAUGUAAUAUGAAUUUACAUAUGGCAGCAUGUUCUGGCUUAUAUUUUUGUUUUUAAUAUUCCUAUACUGAUACUAGAUUUUCUGUCCUUCACAACAGUGGAAUGCAAAAUAUUAGAAGAUAUGAGUAUGCAUACACACAUGAAUUAGAGUGUUGAAAGCAGGCCAGCUGCCAGCAUACUGCACCUAGUAAUAAUGGAAUAGGACUCCGGUUGUAUUCUGUUGGUCUAUGGAAGCAGGGCCAUGAUUAAGAGGAACGGCCAGGGGCAUUCAUAUAGUGCAGCUGGAGGUAAAAUUUUUAGACCAGUGCAAGACGGCCUAGAGCGAAAGUAUUUGCCAAGAAUGUUUUCAUUAAUCAAGAAUGAAAGUCAGAGGUUCAAUCACAAUCAGAAACCAUUGUAGUUCCUCCAUUUGGUGGACUUGGCA
rnacentral:ncRNA from 1 species